rnacentral:rRNA from 1 species
CCUACGGGAGGCUGCAGUGAGGAAUAUUGGUCAAUGGUCGGGAUACUGAACCAGCCAAGCCGCGUGAGGGAUGAAGGUACAGAGGAUCGUAAACCUCUUUUGUCAGAGAACAAAGGCGGGGACGUGUCCCGGGAUGCGUGUAUCCGAAGAAAAAGCAUCGGCUAACUCCGUGCCAGCAGCCGCGGUAAUACGGAGGAGGCGAGCGUUAUCCGGAUUUAUUGGGUUUAAAGGGUGCGUAGGCGGUCUGUUAAGUCAGCGGUCAAAUCGCGGGGCUCAACCCCGGCCCGCCGUUGAAACUGGCAGUCUCGAGUUGGAGAGAAGUAUGCGGAAUGCGCGGUGUAGCGGUGAAAUGCAGAGAUAUCGCGCAGAACUCCGAUUGCGAAGGCAGCAUGCCGGCUCCACACUGACGCUGAGGCACGAAAGCGUGGGUAUCGAACAGGAUUAGAUACCCGGGUAGUC